rnacentral:rRNA from 1 species
UACGGAGGGUGCAAGCGUUAAUCGGAAUUACUGGGCGUAAAGCGCGCGUAGGUUGUUAGUUAAGCGAGAUGUGAAAGCCUCGGGCUUAACCUGGGAAUUGCGUUUCGAACUGGCUGACUAGAGUACGGUAGAGGGUGGUGGAAUUUCAGGUGUAGCGGUGAAAUGCGUAGAGAUCUGAAGGAACAUCAGUGGCGAAGGCGACCACCUGGACUGAUACUGACACUGAGGUGCGAAAGCGUGGGGAGCAAACAGG